rnacentral:rRNA from 1 species
CACGUAGGGUGCGAGCGUUGUCCGGAAUUAUUGGGCGUAAAGAGCUCGUAGGCGGUGUGUCGCGUCGGCCGUGAAAACCUGCAGCUUAACUGUGGGCUUGCGGUCGAUACGGGCAUCACUGGAGUUCGGCAGGGGAGACUGGAAUUCCUGGUGUAGAGGUGAAAUUCGUAGAUAUCGGGAGGAACACCAGUGGCGAAGGCGGCGAUCUGGGAAGAUACUGACGCUGAGGUGCGAAAGCGUGGGGAGCAAACAGG